rnacentral:lncRNA from 1 species
GGGAUUUGCAACGAUGCAGAAGCUGUUUCUGUCCCGCCAGAAAGGGCACAGCUGGCACUGGACAUUACACGGGUGCUUUUCUAGCCAUUAUGGGAAGGGGCGGGGAUUCCAUAUGUGUGGGUGACAAGCUUGCGGACAUGUCAUGAUACCACCGUUUAUCACUAAGAGCGACAGCAAAUAGCAGAAUGUGUCUGGCGGUCGCUGUUUGGGGUCCUGCAGCAGAGUGAGCACAGGUACUGUAUACAAUUGGCUCUUUCAGCCUUGCCAGUGACCCGGUGACACUUCGGCGCUUUCAUGAUGCCCAUCUUACAGGCAAGGACAUGAAGGAGUGAAAGAGACUAAGUCACCUGCCAAGUGGCGGGUCUAGCCAAGGCCACGGCCACCCCACCGUCUUGCCCACUAGACACUCUUCCUUCUGAUCUGCUUCGAGGAUUCACCCGAGGGUCUGUGCUCAGCAGACUGUCUGCGUGGUACUGCAGGUGGCUGCUGCCAGACGGGGCGGCUCAGGAUUCCUGUUUAUAACACCGCUGAACCCAAGAGCAUCUUCUCCCGUGAGUCGGAGGGGGACCCCGCCUCUGCUUGAACCGCUGACACAAGCCAUCUUCACGUCCAGUUCAGUGGCGCCCUACACACUCACACCGCUGUGCAGCCGCCCCACUCUCACUGGCACGUCCCGCUCGGAAACUCAGUCCCGGUUAAACGCCACCGUCCUGCUCUCCCGGCCCCCGGGCCCCACCCCCCGUCUCUGUGCACCUGGCUGCUUUUGGCACCUCAGGUCUUGGAAAUCCUGGUAUAUUUUCUCAUGCAACACAUUUCAACACACACCCCAAUACUUGGCAGCACCCAUGGCAGCACCUCCCUCCUUGGGCAGCCUCCGUCCACGGGCAGCACCCCCUCCACCUGGCUCACUGCACUCAUGCCUGCUGGCCAUUGGUUUUCAUCCUUGAAAUUGCUACGUUCUCUCCGGGCUGAGGUCCUUCAUGCACAGAGCAACCUCUGCCCGGCAAGCCCCUCUCCCCGCACACACCAGCCUCGUCACCACCUCCUGCUCUUUCCUCCCACCGCCCUCAACAUAACUGACGAUUACAAGUGGACUUGUUUACUGAAGACCCAAAGGACAGGAAGCAGAGCACCCGUUAAUACACAGUUCACCAGACUGGAUAAAAACACAACCGAGCUAUAGGCUGUUCACAAGAGACACAGCUAAAAUACAAGGAAGAUCUAGCAAGUUCAAGAGGAAAGGAUUCAAAGAGCGCAUGCAAACACUAACCAAGAGAAAGCUAGUACUGCUCUAUUAAUAUUAGAUACUGUGUUUUAGGAUGAAAGCAGAAUCAGAACUAUCGUAGUUCAUAAUGAAAAGUUUAACAUACCAGAAAGAUGCAGUAAUUCUUUAUAUGCCCAAAGUAUAAAGCAGGUCAGACGAUUUAAGAUGGCAGAGUCGAAGGACCAGAGCUCACCUUCUGUCAUAAAAGCAACAAAAUUACAACCAACUGCUGAACAACCUUCAACAAAACAGUCUGGAAACCAUCCAAAAAGAUGUCCUACUCCAGAAGACAAAGAGGAGGCCACACUGAGAUGGACACUGUCACAGGAUGAGAAGGGAGACAGCCAAGGUGUCUUCAGGCUAAAAUACAAUACAAAGCUGGAGAUGAGGUGCGGUCUUGAGUGGAGAAAAUACAGGUCAGUUACUAAUACUGACCCUAUAAGCAGCUCCAGUCUGUUAUCAGAACGUCAGGCUCUUCCUAGAAGCUCCACGCUGACUUGCAGGCUCCACCCGGAAGCCACGGCCGCCCGGCUUCUGUUUCUCUGGGGAAUUGUGACGAAUCCAGGGACAUGAAGACAGCGGUGCUUCUGCAUCCGGACAGCUCUCACUCCUGGUGCGAAGCCUGCGGAGACAGGACUCGGGAGACCCGGCCCCGGGAGAUCAUUACUCUGGCGCUGGGGGCCUCCACCUGGACCCUCUGCUUCAGCUCGGCCCCAGAUCAUGGUCAAGGGCAGAGCCGAGAUGUCUGCCUCCUAGAACCAGGCCCUGGGAACCUGUGGGACAGACGUAGGCAGGACAGCUUCCUGCUGGUGCUUGUGGAGCUUACAGGUGGACCUUGGCUUCAGAGGAGACUGCACCUUGGAAGAGAUUAAGUAUUUAGAAUCAAAGCCGUUGCUUCAGAAAACAAUUCUCCAAAACCUUCCAGGGGACAGCCCCCUGCCGAGUUGCAUUGCGUCUGACACUCACCUGCAGUAUCAGAUUGGCUGGUGGUACGUGUGUCCUUAAUUCUCUUUCCGGGGACGCGUGGUCCCGAGUCUUCAACAGGUGAAGGGCAAAACCAGGAGGGCCUGAUGAAGCUGCGGGCAGCAAGGUCACAGUGUAGGACCACAGUCUUAGACCUGUGGGGGUGGCCCGUUUGUUCUGUCGCUUGAACUGCCUUUGGCCAUUCCCUGGGCCCUGCUCUGGGUCCCCUCUCUUCCAGGGUGCAGCUGGUCUCCCUCCCUCCCCGCCUGUCGGCCCAGGGAUGGUGCCGCAGGGAUGGUUGGGAGGUGAGGGGAGCGGAGGACACGUGCUGUGAGGCAGGGUCACAGUUCUCCUUGGCCACCAGCCUCGGGAGCGCCAGCUGAGCCAGUGCCCCUCCCUUGACAGCCCCCCUCCCUCUCUGGUACCCCCAGUCUCCCGCCCCCAUGAGAACCUUCAGGAUGCCGAGCCGCAGAGCCCCACCUCCGCCUGGCCCGGGUGGCUGGUCCAGCUCCCUCUGGCCUCGAUUUCUGUUUCACGGGAGCCAGACAGCUCUCAACCCCUUUCUGUGACUGUGUUUCCGAUUCCGUGGCUCUCCCAGCUCCGUGGAGCUGAGGAUGCUGCGGGGGAGAGCUGCCAGGUGAGAGAGGUGACAGCCACCUUCACCGAACAGCUCCGUCCACACGGUCUGCCCCCUCCCCGGGGUCUCCCGAAGUGUCCUUCCAGCCCAUCCGGCAGCCGCUAGAGAGCAGACCAGCGGCCCCCUGCCUCCGAGGACCUGCCCGCUCAGACCCAGGUCCGGACGCAGAACCGACCGCCUUCAGCCCCUCGUGAUGGGACCAGUGCGCUCAUGAGACGACACCCCGGAGUCCUCCCCGCCCUGCGGUGGGCCGAGGACACGGGGAAGGUGGCGGCCGCAAGCCAGGAAGAGGUGCCCCACGGCAAUCCGGCCACGCGGGCACCCUGUUCGUGGACUUGAGGCCUUUGGAGCCGUGAGAACACACAUCUCUGCUGUUUAAACCCUGACACUCUGGUCCUUGCUUAGGGCAGCUGAGCCGACUGAGCCGGGACAAAGGCUGCGAAGGCCCUCGGUCCCGAAGGAGGGAAGGGACGGGCGGCAUCCAGGCUGCGGGCACCUGACCGUCAUCCCCAGGGACCCGGCCACUCGGGUUCUGACCGGCCCGUGGGUGUGUCAGAAAACAAAUACUUUUUAUCCCUCAGGGGAAAUUCUUGACUAACUUUAGACUUCGAUAGAUUAAGUUUUCAUAUUGUAAUUCUUAAGAGUAAUGACCCGUUAAAGUUUUUCCAAUGGCAACAACACACAAGUGUCAGAAUAAAGGAAAAAGUCCUAUUUGCGAACGAGGUCUACAUAAAGGAGAAGAAUACAGACGGUUGAGAGGAAGAGGACGGGAGAAGGUACCGCGAGAUGGGAACAGAGAGCUGCUGGCGCAUGACUAAUACUAGUAACGUGAAUAUUAACAAGUCAAUCAAAUAUUUAAUAAGUUAACUUUAAAUUAAAAUAAUAUUUACCUGUAGUAAAUAUUAAGUCACAUUAAUAUUAAACAAAUAUUUUGUUUAAGAAGAGAUCUAAGGCAAAGAAGCUCUUAUCAUAGUGACAGAUACUCAUUCACGAGAACGAUGUAAAAUUUUGGUUAAAAGCACAGAUUUCAGAGCCUGUUCCAGUCCCAGUUCGGCUACCACCUGUAUGUGUAAUUUUCAGCAAAUUCCUAGUCUCUGACUUUUUUAGUUUCCACGUGCACGAUGAAUACUAAAGAAACUUCUUCGUAGGGUGGUUGAGAGGCGAACCGAGCUGCGUGUAUUUCAAUUAGAACAAUGCCCGCCAUGUGUGUACAUAGUAGGCAUUACACACAGAGGGCGUGAGAUCACAAACGCUAGAGACGUGCAUCAGAAUAUGGGAAGGAAAGUUAAAUACAACCAUAGAAAUCAAUAGAUACCAGUCCAAACGCUUAGUGGAGUAUUUUAAACACGUCCUCUUCGUGAUUAAAAAAAAAAAUCAGUAACAACAUAGAAAAGCUGACAGUACAAAACCUUAAAGUAGUGGACAGAUAGAAAACACUGCAUCUACUUCCUUCCUGCAUGUAAUUUCCCAAAAUGUGCCCUAUGCCGAGUCUCGAAGUCAGUCUCGUCAGAUUUCAUACCCAGCCUGUGCGAAAUCAUGAGAAGCCUGUUCUAGAACUACAAAGAAAUGCAAUAAAGCUAGGAAUCAAAAACCAACCAAAAAA